UGGGGAAUAUUGCACAAUGGGCGCAAGCCUGAUGCAGCCAUGCCGCGUGUAUUAAGAAGGCCUUCGGGUUGUAAAGUACUUUCAGUCGGGAGGAAGGUGGUAAGGUUAAUAACCUUAUCAAUUGACGUUACCGACAGAAGAAGCACCGGCUAACUCCGUGCCAGCAGCCGCGGUAAUACGGAGGGUGCAAGCGUUAAUCGGAAUUACUGGGCGUAAAGCGCACGCAGGCGGUUGAUUGAGUCAGAUGUGAAAUCCCCGGGCUUAACCCGGGAAUUGCAUCUGAUACUGGUCAGCUAGAGUCUUGUAGAGGGGGGUAGAAUUCCAUGUGUAGCGGUGAAAUGCGUAGAGAUGUGGAGGAAUACCGGUGGCGAAGGCGGCCCCCUGGACAAAGACUGACGCUCAGGUGCGAAAGCGUGGGGAGCAAACAGG
rnacentral:rRNA from 1 species